rnacentral:rRNA from 1 species
GUCUACAGCUAUGCUACCCUGAACAAGCCCAAUCCCGUCUGAUUUCGGAAGCUAAGCAGGGUCGGGCCUGGUUAGUAUUUGGAUGAGAGACCACCUAGGAAAACCAGGUGCUGUAGGCG